CGGGGGGGGGGGGCUAUACAUGCAAGUCGAGCGCGGGAAGCGAGUGGAUCCCUUCGGGGUGAAGCUCGUGGAACGAGCGGCGGACGGGUGAGUAACACGUGGGCAACCUGCCUGUAAGAUCGGAAUAACUCCGGGAAACCGGGGCUAAUGCCGGGUAAUACUUUCUUUCGCAUGAAGGAAAGUUGAAAGAUGGCUUCUUGCUAUCACUUACAGAUGGGCCCGCGGCGCAUUAGCUAGUUGGUGAGGUAACGGCUCACCAAGGCGACGAUGCGUAGCCGACCUGAGAGGGUGAUCGGCCACACUGGGACUGAGACACGGCCCAGACUCCUACGGGAGGCAGCAGUAGGGAAUCUUCCGCAAUGGACGAAAGUCUGACGGAGCAACGCCGCGUGAACGAUGAAGGUCUUCGGAUCGUAAAGUUCUGUUGUUAGGGAAGAACAAGUACCGUGCGAAUAGAGCGGUACCUUGACGGUACCUAACGAGGAAGCCCCGGCUAACUACGUGCCAGCAGCCGCGGUAAUACGUAGGGGGCAAGCGUUGUCCGGAAUUAUUGGGCGUAAAGCGCGCGCAGGCGGUUCCUUAAGUCUGAUGUGAAAGCCCACGGCUCAACCGUGGAGGGUCAUUGGAAACUGGGGAACUUGAGGACAGAAGAGGAGAGUGGAAUUCCACGUGUAGCGGUGAAAUGCGUAGAUAUGUGGAGGAACACCAGUGGCGAAGGCGACUCUCUGGUCUGUUUCUGACGCUGAGGUGCGAAAGCGUGGGUAGCAAACAGGAUUAGAUACCCUGGUAGUCCACGCCGU
rnacentral:rRNA from 1 species